AAUGUAAAAAUAAAUUUACAUCAGAUUAAAUUACCACUAAUCCUUCAUUUUACGUAAUUGAAGAAUAAUAACAUAGCAAUACAGUGUUUCGAAAUGAAUAAAAUGAAUCGAAUAAAUGUAUGUAUAUCAAGUAGUCUUAUUUGUUUGAUUUUACUAUUGGAUAUUCAUGAAAAUUCCCCAGUGGAGUGCAGAGCAUUAGAAAAAUCCGCAAAACUCAACAAAGCUGAAGCGAACAAGGCCUUAAUGGUUUCUAAAGAAGCAGUUGACAAGAGAUUGAAAGAACCGGACGUCCCUAGCAUAUCGAUACAAACACUAUUACUGUCGGCAAUGUGUUCUCUGUGCAAGGGAAACAACGACACCUGCCGUCAAAGUAUGGAAUGCUUUUCACGACAGAUCUAAUAUUCUAGCUUAUCUCUAGGAAAAUUCAUUCUAUGCAUUCUAUGAUAUAUUUUCCUAACAAUUUAUGAUGUAUUUCAACGUUGGCUGUAUAUCUAAUAUGUACAUUGUAAUGUGUGUAAGUCAACUAAAUCUAUUAUAUUUUUGUGAAAAUGCUACUUUAUUUCUUGAAGCGCUAUGCCUACACUGUAUACAAGUAUAGAUACUGCAAUAAUAUGAUUAAAGCAGGCAGUCGUCUUUUACUUCCUACGUGAACUUAGUACUGGCAUUUGUUACAAAACGUGAAAGUCAUUGCUUCUUCAUAUUCCAAGCUAGGCUAAGCAUAAAGUCUAUAUAAUCUUCCUGUAAAAUAUUUUGAUGAUAUUGUGCAAUUUGCCAUCAGUGAAAGGCAAAGAUCAGUAAACAAAAUUAUCUAAUAGCUGGCUAAGAAUAGGAGAUAGAAUAUUUAAAAAGAAAUCAGGAAAAGUAUCGGCUUCUUUCUGAAAUACAGUUUUAUAUAGAUUUGUCUGUACAUGUCCUGUUAAAAUUAUAAUUGUUUUGUUAGACAUUAAUUGUACACUUUGAUUGUCUCAAGACUAAAUCCUUUGUACAAGUUUGGAAGUUUGAGACAAAGCACAGAAUGCAAUCUUGCAAUAGGUCUAUUCCAUAACAACCAAUAAGAUCUUGAAGUUUUGAGGCAACGCAUCGUAGCCGGCGGUCUGGAAGACAUUAUACUGUUACAAUAUGGUAUCACUGUAAAUGCUACAGUGUCAAUAUUGAAACUUUUAUUGUAUAACAUUAAAUGUCAUAGUUUAUCAUUAUACAAUAAAUGAUCAUUAAAAGAAA